GAAGAUACAGAAGAAUAUAAUUUGAGAGACUACUUUGAAAAAUAUGGCAAGAUUGAAACCAUAGAUGUUAUGGAAGACUGGCAGAGUGGAAAAGAGAGAGGAUUUGCUUUUGUAACUUUUGAUGGUCAUGACACAGUUGAUAAAAUUGUUGUUCAGAAAUACCACACUAUUAAUGGACAUAAUUGUGAAGUGAAAAAGGCCCUUUCUAAACAAGAAAUGCAGUCUGCUGGAUCACAAAGAGGUCGUGGAGGUGGAUCUGGCAACUUUAUGGGUCGUGGAGGAAACUUUGGAGGUGGUGGAGGUAAUUUUGGACGUGGUGGAAACUUUGGUGGAAGAGGAGGCUAUGGUGGUGGAGGUGGUGGCAGCAGAGGUAGCUAUGGAGGAGGUGAUAGUGGAUACAAUGGAUUUGGAGGUGAUGGUGGCAACUAUGGCGGCGGUCCUGGUUAUAGUAGUAGAGGAGGCUAUGGUGGUGGUGGACCAGGUUAUGGAAACCAAGGUGGAGGAUAUGGGGGUGGUGAAGGAGGAUAUGAUGGUUACAAUGAAGGAGGAAAUUUUGGUGGCGGUAACAACGGUGGUGGUGGCAACUAUAAUGAUUUUGGAAAUUACAGUAGACAACAGCAAUCAAAUUAUGGACCCAUGAAAGGGGGCAGUUUUUGUGGAAGAAGCUCUGGCAGUCCAUAUGGUGGUGGAUAUGGAUCUGGUGGUGGAAGUGAUGGAUAUGGUAGCAGAAGGUUUUAAAAACAAUAGAAAAAGGGCUACAGUUCUUAGCAGGAGAGAGAGCGAGGAGUUGUCAGGAAAGCUGCAGGUUACUUUGAGACAGUCGUCCCAAAGGCAUUAGAGGAACUGUAAAAAUCUGCCACAGAAGGAACGAUGAUCCAUAGUCAGAAAAGUUACUGCAGCUUAAACAGGAAACCCUUCUUGUUCAGGACUGUCAUAAGCCACAGUUUGCAAAAAGUGCAGCUAUUGAUUAAUGCAACAUAGUGUCAAUUAGAAGUACAUUCCUGAGGUCUUUUAUCUGUUCUAGCUUUGUCUUUGUCUUUUCAUUACAUCAGCUAUAUUGCCCUGUAAAUUGUGGUAGUGGUACCAGGAAUAAAAAAAUUAAGGAAUUUUUAACUUUUCAAUAUUUGUGUAGUUCAGUUUUUCUACAUUUUAGUACAGAAGCUUUAACAAAAUGGAGUAGUGAAGGUGUUUCCUUGUGAGUUAACAAGCAAAGAUCAUUGUUAAUUACUAUUUUGUAUGGAGUUUGCUAAAGUUAACUGUAAAGAACCACCUGCUGACUUGCAGUUUAAGGGGAAUCUAUUCUCCUCAUUUCCAAACCAUGGUAUGAAUGGGGGCUGACAUGUGGAGAGAAUAGAUACUUGUAUGUAUGCAUCGUGUGUUUUGGAUACAUGGGAUUGGGUAUUUAAAUUAGCAUAUGUGUGAAUUUAAUAGCAUUAAGAUUACCUUCAAAUGAAAAAAAACUCUCAAAA